UACGGGGGGGGCAAGCGUUGUUCGGAAUUACUGGGCGUAAAGGGCUCGUAGGCGGCCAACUAAGUCAGGCGUGAAAUCCCUCGGCUUAACCGGGGAACUGCGUCUGAUACUGGAUGGCUUGAGUUCGGGAGAGGGAUGCGGAAUUCCAGGUGUAGCGGUGAAAUGCGUAGAUAUCAGGAGGAACACCGGUGGCGAAGGCGGGUCUCUGGGCCGAUACUGACGCUGAGGAGCGAAAGCGUGGGGAGCAAACAGG
rnacentral:rRNA from 1 species